rnacentral:rRNA from 1 species
GAUGAACGCUGGCGGCGUGCUUAACACAUGCAAGUCGAACGGUGAACACGGAGCUUGCUCUGUUGGAUCAGUGGCGAACGGGUGAGUAACACGUGAGCAACCUGCCCCUGACUCUGGGAUAAGCGCUGGAAACGGCGUCUAAUACUGGAUAUGUGACGUGACCGCAUGGUCUGCGUUUGGAAAGAUUUUUCGGUUGGGGAUGGGCUCGCGGCCUAUCAGCUUGUUGGUGAGGUAAUGGCUCACCAAGGCGUCGACGGGUAGCCGGCCUGAGAGGGUGACCGGCCACACUGGGACUGAGACACGGCCCAGACUCCUACGGGAGGCAGCAGUGGGGAAUAUUGCACAAUGGGCGCAAGCCUGAUGCAGCAACGCCGCGUGAGGGAUGACGGCCUUCGGGUUGUAAACCUCUUUUAGCAGGGAAGAAGCGAAAGUGACGGUACCUGCAGAAAAAGCGCCGGCUAACUACGUG